rnacentral:misc_RNA from 1 species
GGCAGCAAAUCAGUAUUUAACCUCCCCAUUCAAAUGAAAAGGAAUUAAAAAUGGAAAUUUGCCAAAAAGAUCAUCAAAGUAAUAAAACAAAAACAAAAUGAAACUAGAGAUUUACUAGGCCUCAUUUCCUAUCUUGUAAUUUAUUCGGCACGUUAAAAGAAGAGACCCAUCAUAAAAGCCAGCCACAAACUCAUUUGCAUUCAACACCUGCCUCAGCAGCUCGACGAGGCUUGUUUUUCCGCCUGCUUCCGUUAUGUCGGAAUCCAUUAGAUUUAGUUGAGUCAUCAGUUAUUGAUCUGGUUGCAAUACCAUUUUCUUCCUUCACUGAAUCAGCUUUCUCCUUUGCCUGUGAGUAUCGCUUCCUCUUCUUCCCAUUUUCUGCUGCUAUUGGACUUUUUGU